UAAGUAUCUGCUAAGAGAGUAGGGACUGGAUUCCCUCUGAUGAAGAUACUGAUGGCAGCAAGGUCAAUGAAGUUUGGCAUACUGGGAAACAGGAUGAUCCCAUAGAUCAUGGCAGCUAGCUGUGCGUGAAAAACUUCCCAAUUCCCCUUCUCUGCUUCAUCUCUGGCUACCCUCAACAGAAAUUUCAACGGCAGACCAAC
rnacentral:lncRNA from 1 species